rnacentral:lncRNA from 1 species
CAUCCUUUUCCGCCCUCAUGGAUUGGUGGUUGGUAUCAGCUGCUCCACCUUUUCUACCAUUUACUGAACGAGUUGAGGAAAAAGGGAAGGAGUCUCGUCUUUACAUCCUUAUUUUCUUUUUUUAUUGGUUGGCACCUAUGCCACUCACGUGGUGGAGAGGCGGGGCAAUAGUUGGAGAUGAUUGGUUCUGAGAAUUGGCUGUGAAAGCGGCAUUGCUGACCAGUGAGAGAGACCUAAUGAGGAGCAGGCCGGGGCAACCAAUGAAAUCGGAGAAGAGCGCUUGGGGGCGUGUCCGCCUGCUUUCAGCCUUUGGCAAGUUGGUGGGAGGUGAAAGUGACUUGGCCUCUUAAAAGCGUUUUUUUCACCUAAAAUCAGUCAUCUUCCUGCGAAGGCAUGAGGAGGAAAAGAGAGGAAGUAACUGAGCGAUAAUAUGCUGUAUGAGCCUCCUGCUCUGCUGCCCAUUACCUGCGUCACCUCCACAAGCUACUGAACCUCAAGGAACCCAUCUCCUCAUCAGGAAAAAAAAUAAGCUUUAUGUAGCAGGGUCUGAACUCUGUAGGUCUUCACCACGGCUCAGGAGGAUGAGGAGCAGUGACAGGCCAAACUACGAGAAAAGACAGAGGGAAUCAAACUCAACACUGUGUCUAAACCUCCUCCACCACUGUUGAAGGGAUCCUGGCAUCAGAUGGGGAACAGCUCUAAAUCAAAAUAACCUCACUACUGUGCUUUUCUGUAAAACCAGGUAAAGAUCAGACAAGCAUGAGUUGAAAGGCUAUGUCUCUCUCCAGGCUUUAUUCUGCCAUAGCAGUGACCAGGCGCAGCCAACAGAAACGGAAAGUCAUGGUGUCCAACACGCCUCUCUGUUCCCCAUGCUGAGGUUAAAAGAUGGUUUUUCCUUGCCAUGGAUAAUGUAGAAUUUGACUUUUCUCCUAUUUAUGAGAACAGAAAUAGGCUAAAAAAGAAAGUAAAUGAAGACCAAUUUUGGUACAGAAAUUAAAAAUCAGGAAAAAAUAAGAAAAAAGCAUUACAGUAAGAUAUUUUGAAUUAAGAAACAAGGUGUAAACUGUAGGAAAAUAUACAAAUAAACACAACUGAAAUAAACAUGGUAUAAAGAGAAACUUUCCAUUAAAAAGCACAUCUCUAUCUGGAAAUACAAAGUCUUAGACAGAAUGUUAAUAAAAAUCUAAAAAAUAAAAAGAGAGAAAGGGUAAACAGAUGUAUACACCGUAUCUAUAAUUAAAAUUCAGCAACAUGCUUUAGAGUAUGCAAUAUAUAAAAAUGGUCAGGUGUGGUGGCUCAUGCCUGUAAUCCCAGCACUAUGGGAGGCCAAGGUGGGUGGAUGACCUGAGGUCAGGAGUUUGAGACCAGCCUGAUCAAAAUGGUGAAACUCCGUCUCUACUAAAAAUAGAAAAUUAGCCAGGCACGGUGGCACAUGCCUGUAAUCCCAGCUACUUGGGAGGCUGAGGCAGGAGAAUUGUUGGAACCCGGGAGCUGGAGGUUGCAGUGAGCCAAGAUCGCACCAUUGCGCUCCAGCCUGGGCAACACGAGUGAAACUCCAUCUCCAAAAAAAAAAAAAAAAGUAACAUAUAAAAAUGUGUUUUAUUUAGUGGACAGUAAAAUCAGGAAAUGUAGUCUUUGGGGCAUAGGAUUAAAAUAUGGGACGGGCGUGGUGGCUCAUGCAUGUAAUCCCAGCACUUUGGGAGGCCAAGGCGGGUGGAUCAAGAGGUCAGGAGAUCGAGAUCAUCCUGGCUAACACGGUGAAACCCUGCCUCUACUAAAAAAUACAAAAAAUUAGCCAGGCGUGGUGGCGGGUGCCUGUAGUCCCAGCUACUCGGGAGGCUGAGGCAGGAGAAUGGCUUGAACCCAGGAGGCGGAGCUUGCAGUGAGCUGCGAUCGCGCCACUGCACUCCAGCCUGGGUGACAGAGCAAGACUCUAUCUCAAAAGAAAAAAAAAAAUGAACAGGGGGCUGGGGAUGGGCAUGGUGGCUCAUGCCUGUAAUUCCAGCACUUUGGGAGGUGGAGGCAGUACUGCUUGAGUCCAGGAGUUCGAGACCAGCCAGAGCAACAUAGUGAGACCCUGUUUCUGCAAAAAAUAUAAAAAUCAAUCGGAGGCUGGGUGUGGUGGCUCACACCUGUAAUCCCAGCACUUUGGGAGGCUGAGGCAGGUGGAUCACGUGAGGUCAGGAGCCCCGGACCAGCCUGGCCAACAUGGCAAAACCCUGUCUCUGCUAAAAACACAAACAUUAGCCUGGUAUGGUGGCGGGCACCUGUAAUCCCAGCUACUUGGGGGCUGACGCAGGAGAACUGCUUGAACCUGGGAGGCAGGGGUUGCAGUGAGACAAGAUAUCGCCAUUGCACUGCAGCAUGAGUGACAGAGCAAGGCUCUGUCUCAAAAAAAAAAAAGUCAAUCAGGCAUGGUGGCACAUGCUACUCAAGAGGCUGAGGUGGGAGGAUCGCUUUGAGUACAGAAAGUUGAGGCUGCAAUGAGCUGUGACUGUGCCACUGCACUGAAGCCUGGGUGACAGAGUGAGAUCCUGUCUCAAAAAAGAAAAUACAAAUAGGGACAAGAAGGUUUAGGUUAAAUGUAUGACUCAUACCUAUAAAUGGAUCAUAAAAGGAAGGCUGGCAGUACUUUGGGAUUCCAUUCCAACUUUCUAGACUCACUCACUUUUCCACAAAAUUUCCCUUCAUGGCCGGUUGCAGUAGCUCACACCUGUAAUCCCAACACUUUGGGAGGUCGAGGCAGGCUGAUAGCUUGAGCUCAGGAGUUUGAGACCAGCCUGGACAACAUGGCGAAACCCCACCUCUACAAAAAAUACACAAAUUAGUUGUGCGUGGUGGCAUGUGCCUGUAGUCCCAUCUACUUGGGAGGCUGAGGUGGGAGGAUGGCUUGAGCCCAGGAGGCAGAGGUUGCAGUGAGCCGAGAUCUUGCCACUGCACUCUGGCCUGGGUGACAGAGAAGACCCUGAUUUAAAAAAAAAAAAUCCCUUUUCAUGUUAUUCUCAGAAAAAAAAUACUACUGCCUUUACUAAAAUUAAAACUAAGAGACCAAAUAACAGAAAGGCACAUUCCGGAUCACUCCAGAACCCCAGAGGCACUGUCACCUCUUCUUCCUCUGAUACACUGACCUUUAGAGUCAUGCUUUGGUAGGUUUUCUGGUGCAAAGGAGCAAGAGGCCUUGAGACCACUUUUUCAUCUCUACUGUACAUAGAAUGGCCCUUAAUGAGUAACUACUAUGUACCAGGCAUUAUAUCGAACCACUUACAACUGUUAUCUCAUUUAAGUACCAGGACAACUCUAUGAAGUCUACAUCAUCACCUCCAUCUUAUAGACCAGGAAACUGAUUCAGCAAUGUGAUAUCAUCUGUCCAAGGUCACAAAGCUAGACAGUAGCAGGGAAGGACUAAAAAUUCAUAUUCUUUAUUUCAUAUUAUGUUUCCCCUAGGAAUCUCUGAAUCUUUAAACUUGAUGCAAAUAAAAUAUGAAAUGGAUGAUUCUACUAUUCAUAGUGUUAUGACAGAGACUGCUAAUUGCCUAAUAUGCCUUCCUACCCAUUAUCAGAACUCUUAUGUGUCAUGACAAUGGCAUAAACUAAAAGAUAUUUUCCAGCCUUCCCUGCACUUAGGUGUGGCCAUGUGACAAUGUCCUGGCUAUUAACAGUAAGUAGAAGUUUCUGGUUAGAACUCCUGGAAAAGGUCUCAAUAAGGAAGAUGGACAGCUGGUCCACAUCUUUUUGCCCUCCACAUCCACCUGUCCUUCUUGAUGUAAAGCUGAAUCAUGAAUUCCACAGCCAUCUUGGACCAUGAGGAAUAAUGAACAUGGAAGCCACUGGUAAGAAUGGCAGAGGAAAAAAAGUGAAAAAGCCUGGAUCCCUGAUGACUCUGUCGAGCUACUAAAUCAAAUUUAUUUCACACUAGACACAUAAAAUCCCAUUUUGUUGAAAACACUGUUAUUUCUAGCCGGUUACUAGGAGCUUAAUGUAACUCUUGACUGAAAGAAGCCUUUUUCCCAAGUUGCUAGAGAUACAGCAGCCAUUAUUUUAAUCUAUAACGCAAAUUAAGACAUUUCACAAAGUUCAAGGAGUUAAAAGGGCAAGAUCACCUUGUUCUGGAGCACAGCAGUGAGGUGAGGAUUGGAGAGUGCUGGUGUAGCUGCACUUUGAGGUAGGUUCAUUAGCUGUCGCAAAAGGCUGGUGAUACUCACUGAUGGAAGAUGAUAGAGAAGGAGAGAGAAGGGACUCAGUAAGCAUGGCAGCACCUACAAAAAACAAAUAAAAG